UUCCUGAUGGUCCAGUGGUUAAGACUCUGUGUUUCCACUACAGGGGGCACAGGUUCAAUCCCUGGUUGGCAAA
rnacentral:tRNA from 1 species